rnacentral:rRNA from 1 species
GACGAACGCUGGCGGCGUGCUUAACACAUGCAAGUCGAACGGAAAGGCCCCUUUGGGGGUACUCGAGUGGCGAACGGGUGAGUAACACGUGAGUAACCUGCCCUUGACUUCGGGAUAACUUCAGGAAACUGGGGCUAAUACCGGAUAGGAAUCCUUGCUGCAUGGUGGGGGUUGGAAAGCUUCGGCGGUUUUGGAUGGACUCGCGGCUUAUCAGCUUGUUGGUGGGGUAGUGGCUUACCAAGGCUUUGACGGGUAGCCGGCCUGAGAGGGCGACCGGCCACAUUGGGACUGAGAGACGGCCCAGACUCCGACGGGAGGCAGCAGUGGGGAAGAUUGCACAAUGGGCGGAAGCCUGAUGCAGCAACGCCGCGUGCGGGAUGACGGCCUGCGGGUUGUAAACCGCGUUCAGCAGGGGCGAAGCUUGUGGUGACGGUACCUGCAGAAGAAGCACCGGCUGACUACGUG